UUAGGUGGGAUCAUAUCAGCACUAACGCACUGGAUACCAUUAGAACUUCGAAGUUAAGCGUGCUUGGGCGAGAGUAACACCAGAAUAAGUGUCACGACCCGGAAUCCCCACCCUCGAGACCGUGAUAGCGCCUAAC
rnacentral:rRNA from 1 species